GUUUACUAAUUUUAUAAUUUUUAUUUUAAAAAAAUAUCUACUGAAUUAAUAAAACAAUAUCCAAGACAAGGACCUGGGGCUGCCCAAAACACUUCGAAAACAACAAUCAUAAACAGAAAUUAAAUCUAGCCCAGUAUUUUAGACCUCUUCAACAAGCAUAAAAAAAGGAAUUCUAGAAAUAUCUAAAAACCAAAUGUAUAUUGAGAAACAAAUUUCAGGGGAAAAACCUUUCAUUUCCUAAACGAGCAUGAAACAGAUCAUCAGAACUCUGCUUCCCCUUUCAUCUACAACUGUGGUUUUUCAUUCUGGGCCUCUAUCCAUCGGCGAUCAACUUCCACCAUCGCCUCUGCAAACUCCGGCACAUCGUUCAUCAGGAAAAUCUCUGUUCUUUGCUUAAUCCCUUCAUUUGCUAACUGUUGUGCUGCUCCAUUGGCCGGUCUCUGCACAUGAUUUAAGUAGGGUUUGAAAGGUCUUGUAUUAUGAGCUUGUAACCACUACGAACAGAAUAUUCUCCAGACGCUUCACCUCUCCAUGCUAUGUGAUCAUUGUUUAGGCAUCGUAGCAAAGGAAUUUUGAGAAUCCUUUCGGCAUCCCUUUCACUAAAGGUACUGAGGAUGGUAUCAAUUUUCCAUAUUCUAGUAUUAGGAUCUACAAAAUCUUCAACUAAUCGCACAUCUUGAAUACGAAUCCCAUCCUGAAUUUUUUAGUUCUUUGCUUUCGGUACCCAAGCAUCAUCCAGAAUUAAAAUGGAGGUCCCUAUACCCACUUUCCAGCAUAGUCCCGCUUGAAGGAGCCCUUUCGUAGCCCAUACACUUUGCCAAGUAUAGGAAGGUACGUGUGUGUGCGGUGUGCGCGGAGUGCUGAAUGUGGGUAGUUGCUACGAUGUGAGUAGUUGUUACGGCGUUCGCGGAGGCAUGCAAGGGAUCUUUGCUGACGUACGGCGCUGGGGAAAAGGGCUAGGGUUUUUCGGAUGUGUGCUGUUAGGGCUAAGCAUUUGAGCCGUUUGUAUUGGGUCAUUGGGGUUAGGUUGGUGGGCUAAAUGUUAGGACUGAUGUAGUCUGGGCUUUAGGCUUAGUUGGGCCCGGGCAAUAAUUGGGUAUUACACUCCUCAAAAUAUUUUUAUGUACAUUUGCCUGAUUAA